rnacentral:rRNA from 1 species
UACGUAGGGGGCGAGCGUUGUCCGGAAUUAUGGGGCGUAAAGGGCUCGUAGGCGGUUUGUCACGUCAGGAGUGAAAACUCGGGGCUUAACCCCGAGCCUGCUUCUGAUACGGGCAGACUAGAGGUAUGCAGGGGAGAACGGAAUUCCUGGUGUAGCGGUGAAAUGCGCAGAUAUCAGGAGGAACACCGGUGGCGAAGGCGGUUCUCUGGGCAUUACCUGACGCUGAGGAGCGAAAGCGUGGGGAGCAAACAGG